GGCUAACGCUGGCGGCGUGUCUUAGCCAUGCAAGUCGAGCGGACUUAUGGGGUAACUUAUAAGUCAGCGGCGGACGGCGGAGUAACACGUAGCUAACCUACCCUCUGGACGGGGAUAACCUACCGAAAGGUGGGCUAAUACCCGAUGUAGUCAUCCUGUAUAGGGGUGAUGAAAGGUGGGCUUCUGUUUACAAGCUCAUGCUGGAGGAGGGGGCUGCGGCCUAUCAGGUAGUUGGUAGGGUAAUAGCCUACCAAGCCGAUGACGGGUAGCCGGCCUGAGAGGGUGACCGGCCCGAGGGGCACUGAGAUACGGGUCCCACUCCUACGGGAGGCAGCAGGCUAGAAAUUUGGGCAAUGGGGGAAACCCUGACCCAGUGACGCCGCGUGCAGGAAGGAGCCCUUCGGGGUGUAAACUGCUGUCGUGUAGGGAGAAGGGUACUAAGGUGAACAAUCUUAGUACUUGACGGUACUACAGGAGGAAGCCCAGGCUAACCUCGUGCCAGCAGCCGCGGUAAUAGUCACGUC
rnacentral:rRNA from 1 species